rnacentral:rRNA from 1 species
UACGUAGGGGGCAAGCGUUGUCCGGAAUCAUUGGGCGUAAAGCGCGUGUAGGCGGCUCGAUAAGUCUGCUGUGAAAGUCCAGGGCUCAACCCUGGGAUGCCGGUGGAUACUGUCGGGCUCGAGUCCGGAAGAGGAGUGUGGAAUUCCUGGUGUAGCGGUGAAAUGCGCAGAUAUCAGGAGGAACACCAAUGGCGAAGGCAGCACUCUGGGACGUGACUGACGCUGAGACGCGAAAGCGUGGGGAGCAAACAGG